rnacentral:lncRNA from 1 species
GACAGGACAGGGCAGACUCCCAGGGAGGCCAUUUGAGCUUCUUCUGGAAGGGUCAGCAGACAUGUGUCAGGAGACGAGAGGGAAGGGUCUUACACCAGGGAGCAGGAGCAGACACACAGGGUGGAGGCUGACGGGGAGUCCUCUCUUAGGUCCACAGGGCAUAAGGAUUGACCCCUAUAAACGGGGAGAUCUUUUCCUAGUUAUCUGUCCUGCUGGGGCUCUCCCUCCCCUCUCUGCCCCCAUCAGGAGGGGGUCUCAAAGGUCCCAGGGCACGUUCUCAGGGGCUGUGUGGAAUCUGAAGAGCCCACCCACUGCCCUGUGGGGUGGAGUGGUGUGGCCAGAGCCCCUGGGGUGGGCAGAAGGUGGUGCUGGGUGUCAUAGUCUGUCCUCCCCCACUGGACAGAUAAGAGAUGAUGGGAACCCGUCCAGCCAAGACCUGCAAGGGAAACCUUGUGAUAAAAGAAGUCUGGCAGGAAGGGGCCGACUGAUUUGGUUGGGGUGGAAGUGCUUGUAAACUGGAACGUGCUAGACAAGUAAGAGGCAUUGAAGAUGAUUUAGCUCUGGAUGCCCCUGACAGAGUGAAGACCAUGGGAAUGUCUGUUAUGUAGAUUCAGCAAGAACAGAUUAAGCAGUGCUGCCAUUUAUCCAUCAGUCAGAUUUCUCCCAUCCUUAACCCUUCAGAACUUAGCCCAGGGCAGGGUUCCCGCCUCAUUGCCAUGGGCACAUGGACUUGUUUCAGUGACCUGAGCACAGGAGCUUCCAUGAGCCACCUCUGGGGACCGCUCACCCACAGAAUUGUUUCUCUCAGGCUGCUCAGCCUCGCACAAUGGAGAUCCUUCUCAAGUGUCCCCCACAGAACCAUGCAGCUGUUUUCAUUUUCUCUUUUGAUUCUCUGGCAAAUCAUAUUACAGAUUUAAAAAAACAAAAGUAUCCUGAACAUAUUAGAUGUAAAAACUUAACCUACAGUGCCACAUUUAAUGGGUUUCUCAGUGACUAUCCUGAGACUAUGCAUAUAUUUAGUAUUUUAUCUAUGCUCAGUGAGUAUCUCUUGAGUUGAAAAGAUGGAGGUCACCCAGAG